rnacentral:siRNA from 1 species
AAGCCGCUGAUGUUACCAGAUCUC